GAUGAAGAACGCAGUGAAAUGCGAUAAGUAAUGUGAAUUGCAGAAUUCAGUGAAUCAUCGAAUCUUUGAACGCACAUUGCGCCCUCUGGUAUUCCGGGGGGCAUGCCUGUUCGAGCGUCAUUACAACCCUCAAGCUUUGCUUGGUAUUGGACAUUGCCAGUUUCUGGCAGGUCUUAAAAUCAGUGGCGGUGCCAUUUGGCUUCAAGCGUAGUAAUUCUUCUCGCUUUGGAGAUCCAGGUGGUUACUUGCCAAUAACCCCCAAUUUUUUCAGGUUGACCUCGGAUCAGGUAGGGAUACCCGCUGAACUUAAGCAUAUCAAUAAGCGGAGGA
rnacentral:misc_RNA from 1 species